rnacentral:rRNA from 1 species
UUCAAGGACUAAGCCAUGCAUGUCUCAGCGUACACGGCUUCCCACAGUGGGUCUGUGAAUGGCUCCUUACAUCAGCAGUCAUCUCCGUGAUAGAGUGUGGAUGGCACCAUCCCUGCCAGGUGCCCGCUUGGACAUCCUCCAAAACCUAGUGGCUAAUACACGGUUGCCCCGGUCUGCUACAACACAGUCUUGUCAGCCUCCAAUCUGCCUUGACUGGCAGUGGAUUGCGCCCAGCCGCCUUGAAGACCAGCGCCUGGAAAUGGCAGCGUGUUGUUGUUGACUCAGGCUGGUCCCCCGUGGACGUCCGCGCUGGCAGAGUGGUGGCCUCCUGGUCACAGCAUUGCUUGAUCACACGAGCUUCUGACCUAUCAGCCUUGAUGGUGGUGUAUUGGACCACCAUGGCAGUGACGGGUAACGGAGAAUCAGGGUUUGAUUCCGGAGAGGGAGCCUGAGAAACGGCUACCACUUCUAAGGAGGGCAGCAGGCACGCAAAUUGCCCAAUGCUUACACACUCCUGGUGAGGCAGCGACGAACCGCAGCAAUUCCGCUUGUCCUCUGUGACCAGUGGAACUUGGAAUGGAUGCAAUCCAAACACAGUGAUGAGUAUCAACUGGAGGGCAAGUCUGGUGCCAGCAGCUGCGGUAAUUCCAGCUCCAAGCGCGUAUACUAACAUUGCUGCUGUUAAAACACUUGUAGUCUGAUGCUGGGUUGCAGGUCUGCUGGGUGGCACUGGGUGGGCGUGGCGCUCGUUGCCUGUUCGCAGGUGGUGGGUCUGCGUCUGCUCGGUGGUACAACCCCCAGUGGUAUGUUCCUGCACCCGUCUUCCAUGAUGGUGCGAACAGCCCCUGCUCCAAGCCACCUUCAGUGGUGNNCGCUGCGGUUGCAUACCCAACGCUUGUGUGUUGACACCCUGGAGGCACGGCCUUGCNNNNUUCGCCUCCAAGUCCACCACCGGGGUCCACCAUCCCUGUCACCGUGGAAAACUCAGUGUGCUCAAGGCGUCCACUCAUGGCUGGAUGCCCGUCCAUGGAAUGUCGCAGUAUCGACCUGAUGUGGCUGUGGAGUUGUGCUGGCCUUGGUGCUCAUCCAAGGGGAACAUGGUGCUGUCCCCGGCCACGCAGGGCUCUGCCUCGCGGGUGCGUGCUCCCUGUGUGGUCUGGAGGGCAGUAUCAAUCGUCCGCGAUGGGACUGCUCAGGGUGAAAGAUAUUGCAACUGGAGAGGUGAAAUUCUUAGACCGCUGCAAGAUCAACUGCGGCAAAGGCGUUCUGCAAGUGCAUGUCCGUCGAUCAAGAAUGUGAGUGUGGGGAGCAAAGAUGAUCAGACACCGUUGUAGUCCACAACUGUAAACCAUGCCAGCUCGGUGUUGAUGGUGCAAGCGAUCUCAGACACCACCAGCGCCAUGCCCCCUGCAACGGGAAACCCAAGCCUAUGGGUUCAGGGGGGAGUACUGUCGCAAGGCUGAAACUUAAAGGAAUUGACGGAAUGGCACCACAAGGCGUGGAGUAUGCGGCUUAAUUUGACUCAACACGGGGAAUGUUACCAGGUCAGGACGUUGCUGGGAUGGACAGAUUGAGAGCUCUUUCUUGAUCCUUCGGAUGGUGGUGCAUGGCCGCUCCUGAUUGGUGGAGUGAUUUGUCUGGUUGAUUCCGAUAACGAGUGAGACAUCUGCCUCCCAGUAGGCCCCGGUCUCGCACUUGUAGGGUGUCGCCGUGUGGGAAGAGGCGGUUCGCCGUCCUUGGUACCCUCGGCGGUCACCUGAGAGGCCAGUGGUAUAGCUUCUCUGAGGUGCUGUGUACGCCACCAAGUGCACGCAUGCUAGAGCCAACAGCAGGUCUGUGAUGCUCCCAGAUGUCCUGGGCCGCACGCGCACUACAUUGGUCCAGUGAAUGUGUCCUGCACUCCCUCUGUGGAGGCCUGCCUGGAAGUGGGUGGGAAACCCCUGGAGCCUGUCUGACCGUACUGGGGAUAGAUGAUUGCAACUGUCUGCCUUGAACGAGGAAUGCCUAGUAAGCGUGGGUCAUCAGCCCACACUGAUUGUGUCCCUGCCAUUUGUACACACCGCCCGUCGUUGCUACCGAUGGUGGCAGGAUAGAGCCAUCAGGAGGCGCUGCACUCUCUCCAGAGUCAGGCUAAAAUUGGGCAAUGUCCUGCCACUAGAGGAAGCAAAAGUCGUAACAAGGUUGUUGUAGGUGAACCUGC